CAGUAUGCGGGCUGGAGGUUAGGCGCUGCCGGCUCCAGGUCUCCGUGGUCACGAGGUGAUGCUCACAUUCUAACGUGAUGCAAGCAAUGCAGUUCAAGGGCAGGAGGUGUUAGAGUCGACAAGGUUUGUGGAAAAUAAUUCCCCACAGGUUUGAAAAGCUGGCAGUGUGGAAUGAAUGGUGAGACAGUGCUAACUCCUGAACCUGUUGCAACUGAGAGACCAUGGACAUCUGCCUUCCAAGCACAUGAAUGACACUCCUGGUCCUGGGAAGCAGAGUAUUCUGUGGAGAUGACUCUUCUAAGACCUCCUCUAAAGUCCUCAACAUUAGAAAACAGGUAGGUGGUUGAGCUGCAGUUGACUGCUCCGCGGGCAAGUGGCGCCCAACGUGAGGCCCGAUAGCCGCUGGAACAAAGCGCCGUCCCCGCCAGUGAUUUCCCCUCGCGGAUCGCCGCAACUACUCGAAGGCGAGACAGAUCCAGGAGCCCCUCCCCUCUUGGCAAACUCGGCCAGAUAAGGCCCAAUCAUGGGACAAGCAUGUUCACAAAAUGAUAUUUUUAUAAGGCAAUUAAAGCAAACUCUCAAGGUGCGAGGAACUCGAGUUAAGAAAAAGGAUUUAGUUUUAUUUUUUGACUUUAUAUUCAAAACGUGCCCCUGGUUCCCCCAAGAGGGGACGAUUGACCCGCGGUGUUGGAACCGGGUCGGAGAUUGCCUUAACGACUAUUAUCGAGUCUUUGGCCCCCAGACCGUCCCUAUCACCACCUUCAGUUAUUUUAAUCUUAUUAAAGAAAUCUUAGUCACUCAUGGGCAUUCUCCGGAUGUCCAGAGCCUCUGUAAAGAGGGACAAGAAAUUUCAAAAAAUCAAUCUCGGCCCCCUUCGAGGGCCCCCU